rnacentral:rRNA from 1 species
CCUACGGGUGGCAGCAGUGAGGAAUAUUGGUCAAUGGACGAGAGUCUGAACCAGCCAAGUAGCGUGAAGGAUGACUGCCCUAUGGGUUGUAAACUUCUUUUAUAUGGGAAUAAAACAGGGUAUGCAUACCCUCUUGUAUGUACCAUAUGAAUAAGGAUCGGCUAACUCCGUGCCAGCAGCCGCGGUAAUACGGAGGAUCCGAGCGUUAUCCGGAUUUAUUGGGUUUAAAGGGAGCGUAGGUGGAUUGUUAAGUCAGUUGUGAAAGUUUGAGGCUCAACCGUGAAAUUGCAGUUGAAACUGGCUGUCUUGAGUACAGAAGAGGUGGGCGGAAUUCGUGGUGUAGCGGUGAAAUGCUUAGAUAUCACGAAGAACUCCGAUUGCGAAGGCAGCUCACUGGACCGCAACUGACACUGAUGCUCGAAAGUGUGGGUAUCGAACAGGAUUAGAUACCCGAGUAGUC